rnacentral:rRNA from 1 species
CUGCCCGGUGACUAAUAGUUAAACGGCCGCGGUACCCUAACCGUGCGAAGGUAGCACAAUCACUUGUUCUUUAAAUCAGGACUAGUAUGAACGGCCUCACGAGGGCUACACUGUCUCCCCCCUUUAAUCAGUGAAACUGAUCUCCUCGUGAAGAAGCGAGGAUACCAAAAUAAGACGAGAAGACCCCAUGGAACUUUAAACUUGUACCACUGCCCAUUACACACCACGUCAACCAGGGCAAUCAUGACUACCAGUCUUUCGGCUGGGGCGACCACGGAGAAAAAUAAAACCUCCACGAUGAAAGGGGCACCUGCCCCCUAACCCUAGAGCUACCGCUCCAAGAAUCAACAAAUUGACAUAAAUUGACCCAAACACCUUGAUCAACGAACCAAGCUACCCUGGGGAUAACAGCGCAAUCCAUUUCAAGAGACCCCAUCGACAAAUGGGCUUACGACCUCGAUGUUGGAUCAGGGUAUCCUGGUGGUGCAGCCGCUACCGAAGGUUCGUUUGUUCAACGAUUAAAACCCU